rnacentral:rRNA from 1 species
AGUGGACGCUGGCGGUAGGCCUAACACAUGCAAGUCGAACGGCAGCACAGUAAGAGCUUGCUCUUACGGGUGGCGAGUGGCGGACGGGUGAGGAAUACAUCGGAAUCUACUUUUUCGUGGGGGAUAACGUAGGGAAACUUACGCUAAUACCGCAUACGACCUACGGGUGAAAGCAGGGGAUCUUCGGACCUUGCGCGAUUGAAUGAGCCGAUGUCGGAUUAGCUAGUUGGCGGGGUAAAGGCCCACCAAGGCGACGAUCCGUAGCUGGUCUGAGAGGAUGAUCAGCCGCACUGGAACUGAGACACGGUCCAGACUCCUACGGGAGGCAGCAGUGGGGAAUAUUGGACAAUGGGCGCAAGCCUGAUCCAGCCAUACCGCGUGGGUGAAGAAGGCCUUCGGGUUGUAAAGCCCUUUUGUUGGGAAAGAAAAGCAGCAGGUUAAUACCCCGCUGUUCUGACGGUACCCAAAGAAUAAGCACCGGCUAACUUCGUG